rnacentral:lncRNA from 1 species
UUCUACAAUAAAGCUUCUUCAAUUAUUGUUCUUAUCUUCUAUUAUUUCUAUCAUGGUAUCAGAGCCGCUUGCCUAGAGCAAGCUCUCUUCUCGUUGCCAAUUCAUCAUUGGUGUUGCCACUCUGCGCCAACGUCCGUUCCCUUCCGCUACGGCAUCUCUAGUGCUGCUCAUCAGCACUGCCCCACCUUUCUUCCUCGUUGUAGCUAUUUUCCUUCCUCUUUUGCUACAGCUUCCUCUUCUGCUACAGCUUCCUCCUCUGUUGCAGUUUCUUCCUUUGUUGUAGUAGCAUCAUUGCAACAUUGCUGUAGAUUUCUUCUCUACCGUCGCAGCCGUCGUAAUCGCAACCACGACCAACGUCGUUGAGAAAAGCGAAGCUUCGCUCUUGCCUUCGGCCAGCGACCAACGUCGCUGAGAAAAGUGAAGCUUCAUCCUUCGGCCAGCGACCAACGCCGUUGCAUUCCUAAGAGGCUCCGUGGUUAAUCCUCAUCUUCCUCACCGCGGUAGUCUUCGCUGAUAUGUCAAUAUUCGGCAGACUUAAGGAGAAUGAAGGGAACGCCUGUGCCAUCACAGCAACAGCAAUCACAGUAGCAGCAGCAGCGAUCUACACUUAUCUUACUCACAAAGCCUCUCGCUUUAAACCAUUCUUUGCAUCGAUCCAAGAUUGGUAUCCUUGUUAGGAGCACCAUCUUGCGGGGGCAUGAUAGAAGAUAAGAUUUCCCCAACUUGAUAGAGGAUAAGAUUUCCCCAAUUAUAUGAGGAAAUCUCUCUAUUCUGUUUAUUCUGUUAGGGAAAUCCUUCCUCCUAAUUUGUAUAAAUAGGAGAAGGAACAUGUUAAUAGAUUCAAGCUAAAGCUAUUUCAUUUCUACAAUAA